AUUGAACGCUGGCGGCAGGCCUAACACAUGCAAGUCGAGCGGAGCGGCGGACGGGUGAGUACUGUCUGUGAAACUGCCUGAUGGAGGGGGAUAACGUCCGGAAACGGGCGCUAAUCCCGCAUACUAUCAGAUGAGCCUAGGUCGGAUUAGCUAGUUGGUGGGGGAAAGGCCUACCAAGGCGACGAUCCGUAACUGGUCUGAGAGGAUGAUCAGGCACACUGGAACGGAGACACGGUCCAGAGUCCUACGGGAGGCAGCAGGGGGGAAUAGUGGACAAUGGGCGAAAGCCUGAUCCAGCCAUGCCGCGUGUGUGAAGAAGGUCUUCGGAUUGUAAAGCACUUUCAGCGGGGAGGCGUUACCCGCAGAAGAAGCACCGGCUAACUCCGUGCCAGCAGCCGCGGUAAUAC
rnacentral:rRNA from 1 species